rnacentral:rRNA from 1 species
UACGGGGGGGGCAAGCGUUGCUCGGAAUCACUGGGCGUAAAGCGCACGUAGGCGGCUUUUUAAGUCAGGGGGGAAAUCCUGGAGCUCAACUCCAGAACUGCCUUUGAUACUGAGAAGCUUGAGUUCGGGAGAGGUGAGUGGAACUGCGAGUGUAGAGGUGAAAUUCGUAGAUAUUCGCAAGAACACCAGUGGCGAAGGCGGCUCACUGGCCCGAUACUGACGCUGAGGUGCGAAAGCGUGGGGAGCAAACAGG